rnacentral:sRNA from 1 species
AUUGAACCAGUCGAGCACCACCGGCAGGUGAUCCAGGGACGGAUUUUU